rnacentral:rRNA from 1 species
GACGAACGCUGGCGGCGCGCUUAACACAUGCAAGUCGAGCGAAGCGGCGGACGGGUGAGUAACACGUGAGUAACCUGCCUUAGACAUUGGGAUAGCCUCGGGAAACCGGGAUUAAUACCAAAUGGUCUAAGAUGGACUCGCGUCCCAUUAGCUAGUUGGUGAGGUAACGGCCCACCAAGGCGACGAUGGGUAGCCGGCCUGAGAGGGUGAACGGACACAUUGGAACUGAGAAACGGUCCAAACUCUACGGGAGGCAGCAGAUGGGAAUAUGGCACAAUGGAGUGAACUCUGAUGCAGCGACGCCGGGUAAACGAAGAAGGCUUUCGAGUCGUAAAGUUCUCUUAUAUGGACAGCGGUACCGUAAGAAAAAGCCCCGGCUAACUACGUGCCAGCAGCCGCGGUAAUUC